rnacentral:rRNA from 1 species
GAUGAACGCUGGCGGCGUGCCUAAUACAUGCAAGUCGAGCGAACAGACGAGGAGCUUGCUCCUCUGACGUUAGCGGCGGACGGGUGAGUAACACGUGGAUAACCUACCUAUAAGACUGGGAUAACUUCGGGAAACCGGAGCUAAUACCGGAUAAUAUAUUGAACCGCAUGGUUCAAUAGUGAAAGACGGUUUUGCUGUCACUUAUAGAUGGAUCCGCGCCGCAUUAGCUAGUUGGUAAGGUAACGGCUUACCAAGGCGACGAUGCGUAGCCGACCUGAGAUGGUGAUCGGCCACACUGGAACUGAGACACGGGCCAGACUCCUACGGGAGGCAGCAGUAGGGAAUCUUCCGCAAUGGGCGAAAGCCUGACGGAGCAACGCCGCGUGAGUGAUGAAGGUCUUCGGAUCGUAAAACUCUGUUAUUAGGGAAGAACAAAUGUGUAAGUAACUAUGCACGUCUUGACGGUACCUAAUCAGAAAGCCACGGCUAACUACGUG